GGCUGGCGGCGUGCUUACAGCAUUUAAAGUCGAACGAACCUUCGCGUUAGUGUGCAGGACGGGUGAGUAACGCGUAUCUGCCCUCAGGAGGGGGACAACAGCUGGAAACGGCUGCUAAUACCCCUUAUGCCGCGAGGUGAAAUGAAUUUCGCCUGAGGAUGAGCUCGCGUCUGAUUAGCUAGUUGGUGUAGGUAAUGGCUCACCAAGGCAUCGAUCAGUAGCUGGUCUGAGAGGAUGAUCAGCCACACUGGGACUGAGACACGGCCCAGACUCCUACGGGAGGCAGCAGUGGGGAAUUUUCCGCAAUGGGCGAAAGCCUGACGGAGCAACGCCGCGUGAGUGGAUGAAGGCCUCUGGGCUGUAAACCUCUUUUAUCAAGGAAGAAGAUCUGACGGUACUUGAUGAAUAAGCCACGGCUAAUUCCGUGCCAGCAGCCGCGGUAAUACGGGAGUGGCAAGCGUUAUCCGGAAUUAUUGGGCGUAAAGCGUCCGCAGGCGGCCCUUCAAGUCUGCUGUUAAAAAGUGGAGCUUAACUCCAUCAUGGCAGUGGAAACUGUUGGGCUUGAGUGUGGUAGGGGCAGAGGGAAUUCCCGGUGUACGCGGUGAAAUGCGUAGAUAUCGGGGAAAGAACACCAGUGGGCGGAAAAGGGCGGCCUCUUGGCUGGGCCCAUCCACUGAACGGCUUCAUGGGAACCGAAAAGCCAAGGAGAAGCAAAACAGGGAUUUACGAAUACCCCCUGUUACUUCCCUUGGGCCGGUAAAAACGAUGAACCACUAGGUGUCACGGGGGGAAUUCGAAACCCCCUUCGAGUGUAGUAAGCCCAAGACGUUAACUGUCAGCUGGAAUACGCACGCAGUGUUAAAUCAAGCAUUG
rnacentral:rRNA from 1 species